ensembl:lncRNA
UUUUUGUGUCACUGUAAAAUCAUAUAAGGUUGUAUUGAAAAGUCAAUGUCUUAAGGAGCUCAAACAAAAACCCUUAUGUCCCCUAAUGACAGAUAUAUUGCUUAAUACUAAAUCGUUGUGCUUUGGCUUCUGUUAAAAACUUGAUAUUUAAAGACAUAUUCAUGCAGUGUGUGAGUCUGCGACAAAGAGCGUUGCACAGCUUGCUCCGUGCCCCUUCAUAUGAUAUAUUGCUCAAUAUUGUUUCUUGGACUGAUGAAGAGCAGGUGUGCUCGAAACAUCACUAGAUGCAAUAAAUAAGGAAUCUGGAGUUCUGCAAUGUGUGAACCAUUUAUUCUUUUUUUUUUUUUUUAUUCUUACAUGUGUCUUUUUUUUUUUUUUUAAGAUCAACUUUAACCUUCGGUGUUAACAAGUAUGUCAGGGUCAAAUGCUUCACCAACCUUGGUAUUCCAUAUGGGUAAUAGCAAGUUUUAAUGUUUUUCAAAUUGAGUGUGACCUCGACCCAAUUUUCACAAAAUUAAAUGAACUCAAGCUGUUAUUGGUAUGUACCAUAACAUAAAAUUUGACAGUGAUAUCUUGAAGACGGCAAACAUAAUAAUUAUAACUCCAUUUAGGGAAUUUGUAAAACACUAGGAAGCAGGAGGCAACAUCCUCCACCUGCCCAGCACUUCUGGUUUUCUUUUGACUAUAUAGAAGCCAUCUAUGUCCACUGUGAGCGACCAUCUUUGAACAGAGGCGGGGGUUUACGACACCAACUCUCUGCCAUCUAUAAUCCAGUUUUGAGAUCCCUUCCCAGAUGCCUUAACGCCCACUCACAUCCUGGGCCAUCUGACCUCAGGAAUUCGCAUGAUAAGGUGGGGCCAGGUUUCACAAUGAACACACAGGAAACUCUGGCUGAUUGGGACCCACGCCCAGUUUCACACCUUGGCUCAGGCGAUUAGAGGAUCAUCAGGGGGUCCUUUUGUCCCUCUGUGGGGGGAUACUCUCACUAGGUUUAUAUCUGGGACUCUCCACCAUUUGACCUUAGAACUGAAGAAGCUUCUCGGAUGAGAGGUGAAACGUCUUCAAGCAACUUAAAG